GCGUUACAGGCCCUUUGGCGCCUGCGUAUUCGUGAAGUGUGAAAAAAGCGCGCCUCUGUUGGGACGGGAAAUCAGCCUUUCUAUUGGUCAGGGUUAGAAACCCCGCCUUUGAGGCAUUUUCAACCAAUGGAAGCGCGGCAUUCUUCAUUUAAACUGUCUAUAAAUUUCUGCCUAGUCAAAGUUAAGAGUGGCGCCAGGGAUUUGAACCGCGCUGACGAAGUUUGGUGAUCCAUCUUCCGAGUAUCGCCGGGAUUUCGAAUCGCGAUGAUCAUCCCCUCUCUAGAGGAGCUGGACUCCCUCAAGCAGACAAGUUGUUAAAAGCCUUGAAAGGCCACAUUAAACAUGAGGCAAGAAAAGGAAAUGAGAAUCAGGAUGAAAGUCAAACUUCUGCAUCCUCUUGUGAUGAGACUGAGAUACAGAUCAGCAACCAGGAAGAAGCUGAGAGACAGCCACUUGGCCAUGUCACCAAAACAAGGAGAAGGUGCAAGACUGUCCGUGUGGACCCUGACUCACAGAAUCAUGAAAAGCAGGAAAGCCAGGAUCUCAGAGCUACUACAAAAGUUCCUUCUCCACCAGACGAGCACCAAGAAGCUGAGAAUGCUGUUUCCUCAGGUAACAGAGAUUCAAAGGUACCUUCAGAAAGAAAGAAAUCUCUCUACACAGAUGAGUCAUCCAAACCUGGAAAAAAUAAAAGAACUGCAAUCACUACUCCAAACUUUAAGAAGCUUCAUGAAGCUCAUUUUAAGGAAAUGGAGUCCAUUGAUCAAUAUAUUGAGAGAAAAAAGAAACAUUUUGAAGAACACAAUUCCAUGAAUGAACUGAAGCAGCAGCCCAUCAAUAAGGGAGGGGUCAGGACUCCAGUACCUCCAAGAGGAAGGAUCUCUGUGGCUUCUACUCCCAUCAACCAACGACGCUCGCAAGGCCGGUCUUGUGGCCCUGCAAGUCAGAGUACCUUGGGUCUGAAGGGGUCACUCAAGCGCUCUGCUAUCUCUGCAGCUAAAACGGGUGUCAGGUUUUCAGCUGCUACUAAAGAUAAUGAGCAUAAGCGUUCACUGACCAAGACUCCAGCCAGAAAGUCUGCACAUGUGACGGUGUCUGGGGGCACCCCAAAAGGCGAGGCUGUGCUUGGGACACACAAAUUAAAGACCAUCACGGGGAAUUCUGCUGCUGGAAAGCUAAAACCAUGGGGGCAAUCUAAAGAAAAUAAUUAUCUAAAUCAACAUGUCAACAGAAUUAACUUCUACAAGAAAACUUACAAACAACCCCAUCUCCAGACAAAGGAAGAGCAACGGAAGAAACGCGAGCAAGAACGAAAGGAGAAGAAAGCAAAGGUUUUGGGAAUGCGAAGGGGCCUCAUUUUGGCUGAAGAUUAAUAAUUUUUUAACAUCUUGUAAAUAUUCCUGUAUUCUCAACUUUUUUCCUUUUGUAAAUUUUUUUUUUUUUUUUUUUUUUUUUUUUUUUUGCUGUCAUCCCCACUUUAGUCACGAGAUAUUUUUCUGCUAACUGUUCAUAGUCUGUGUAGUGUCCAUGGGUUCUUCAUGUGCUAUGAUCUCUGAAAAGACGUUAUCACCUUAAAGCACAAAUUCUUUGGGAUGGUUUUUACUUAAGUCCAUUAACAAUUCAGGUUUCUAAUGAGACCCAUCCUAAAAUUCUGUUUCUAGAUUUUUAAUGUCAAGUUCCCAAGUUCCCCCUGCUGGUUCUAAUAUUAACAGAACUGCAGUCUUCUGCUAGCCAAUAGCAUUUACCUGAUGGCAGCUAGUUAUGCAAGCUUCAGGAGAAUUUGAACAAUAACAAGAAUAGGGUAAGCUGGGAUAGAAAGGCCACCUCUCCAUUCUCUAUAGAAUAUAGUAACCUUUAUGAAAUGGGGCCAUAUAGUUUGGUUAUGACAUCAAUAUUUUACCUAGGUGAAAUUGUUUAGGCUUAUGUACCUUCGUUCAAAUAUCCUCAUGUAAUU
rnacentral:sRNA from 1 species